AAGCAGGGAGAGCCGACCGAUGACUCUUAGUGGCAUCUGUGAAGACUUCCCAGACAGUUUCGAGUGCUUCUCAUCUGCCUCCUCGGCACACACUCUUCUGUGGAUGUAUAAGGCGUAAGAUGAUGUUAGCUGGGACUGCCUGCCGUUAAGUGGAGGGAUCUUUGUAAAGCCUUUCGUGCUUGUGGGCUGUGGAGAGCACUAACGUGGAAAGUGGCUGGAGUAGCGCGGUGGCUUGAGGAUGCUCCCGGAUCUGGCUCCUGGUGCCCUUGAGCCGAUCCCUCUGCAUUCACCACACCAGUCUGUCACUCAGCAGUGUGGGCGCGACCAGUGGGCUUCUGUGAACUCAGGUGCUGGAGAGAAGGCUCAGAGGUUAAAGGCAUUGGCUGCUCUUCCAGAGGACUGGGUUUGACUUUCAACACCCACACAACAGUUCACAACCAUCUGUAACUCCAGUUCCAGGGGAUCCAAAACCCUCUUCUGGCUUCCCUGAACUCAUCUGAUGCACAGACACACGUGCGAGCAAAAAUACCCAUGCAGGCAGAAUAAAACUAAAAACAAGACGACAAAAAUCUGUAACCUUCCUAGCUUUUUCAUACAACUAGCUCAAAAUUAUUUGUUGUUUUGGAUGGAGACAAUUGAUUCUAUCUGAAUACAUUAAAUGAGAUGAGGAUGUAUUCCUCGUGGCAUGGACUCAUGUAGUCUACUUCUGGGCUCCAAGAGUGUUCAGUGGGGCAGGACAGCCGGGCUCCACUCCCAGCUCCUGAAUUCACUGGUUGUGUGUUCCUACGCCAGCUCCUUAACCCCAUGUGCCUCUGUUUCCUCUUCUAUAAGGUCAGACCAGCGACAGCAGCACCCAAAAUGGUUGGAAGGAGCGCAAGAAAACAUUCAUUAAAUCCCUUACCACUACAGCCAGAACCCCCAAAGCAGCGAGAGAAUUCAGUUGUCGUUUCCGUGCUGUACCUUUUUCAGAUACACUGUGUGGUCUGUUGUGCAUCAGACAGUUUCUAACACAUUGCUUUGGGUUUACGCUGCUGAGGAGAAACGCCUGCAAUGCAUACACUAGGAUCGAGACGGGGUCUCCGGUACCAAACCUGAACAUGGGCUUCACUCUACAUCAGUCAAAACCCCCAGAACUCCCACACAACUGAGAACUGCGUUCCUGCUCGACCAGGGCGGGUGUCAGAAGAGGAAACGGAGAGUUGCUCCGGUCCGCACGUGCUUCUCCCUACCCAGCUCCCUCUGCUUCAGUUUCUCCCCCCACUGAGUUUCCACCUCCUGAUUUCUGACCUCGCUUCUAAAGGUUGCUUGCAGGAUGUUGAUCUUUAAUGUGGCACAAGCCUUGGCCACCUCUGUCCUCAUCUACGAGAUGGGUCCAGCAAGGCUUGCUCUGCGGGACCCCUGUGAGAUGGUGAAAAGCGUGCAUAAACACCUUUCACGCAGUAAGCUGUCCUGAAGCCUCAGGCUCUUCCCCACUAGCUAAAUUAGGACGGCUCCUUUCUGUGCCCCCUCCCUCUCUGCCUCAGGCAUGCUAUUUUAUCCCCCCCACACACACACACACCCUUUUCCUGUUUAGUUUGUUUUUUUUUUUUCUCUCCUCUCCACAGAGACUGCCUUCAGGCAUAUGGCCAGUCCACUAUGCCCUGCCCUGAGCGACUUCUGCAGCAUCGGAAAAGAUUACCGCCACCUGCGCACCGCUGCCAGCAGCAACAGUAGCUGCCAGCCUCUGUGUGGCACUUCAUAAUCAUAACUAGCUUCACACAGCAUUAUUUUUAAUCCUGAUCAUAACUCUAUGGAUAUAUCCUUUCUCAUUUCCUGAGUAACUGAGCCAAGGAGGAACAUGUGCUCAGGGGCCCAGUGAGCACGUACUUUGUCAGUGUUAUGCAACUACCGUUAGCUCCGUCUCAGCUAAUAAUGCAGGGUGAACCGGGCCUGGUGGCUCACAGCCAGCACUCAGGAGGAUGUGGUGGGAGCAGCCACCAGCAAGCCAGCUUGGGCUACCACAGUGAGACCCUAGGCUCAGAAAAGCAAACAAACAUUGGUGGACUAGUGAGAUGGCCUGGUCAAAACGUGCUUGCUGCUCAGGCGUGGGGAUGUGAUAGGGAUUCCCGGAACCCACCUAAACAGCUGCAUUGGCAGGAAGGGCAGGACACUGACAGAAGUACCCCUGGGGCUCACAGACAGCCGAACCUAGCCCAAUAAUGAGUUCCAGGUUCAGUGAGAGACCUGCCUCAGAAACUAAGGUGUAAGAAAUGGGAAAAGGUAUUCACUAUCAAACUCUGGCCUCCACGUGUGAGCCCCAUACGAACACGUGUGUAUACCAAGAAGAAAAAUUGUAAUCAUCUGUAUACAAAUAAAAAAUACAGUGUAGGAUGACACAUGACUCUUUUCAAACUUGAUGUGAGAGAUUUGAGAAGGGUUUCCUCGUAACUCAAUGCUUAAUUUUUACUGUUGGUUAAAAUAACCAACAGUAAAAUGUGCUCGCUGCCCCGCCUUAGGAAACUCUCCUGAUUUACACCGAUCUGGCCAUGUUAAACACUUUCUCAAAGGACAUUUUAAAGGUAGCUAUUGUUGGAGGAACUCAGAGAUCCUGCUUCCAUCUGUGGAAAGCCUGCUAGGUUUCCCUUCCUUGGGGGUACGCCUGAGGCCACCUACCAUCCUCAGGAAUGAUGAUCAUGUAGCCCACACUUUCAUAGUGAAAUCUUGGGCUGCCCUCUCCGUUUAGCCUGUAGUGAGAGGUGAGAGCACCCUGGCUACAUUAUAAUGAGGCAGGCGAGCAUAGGGAAUAGCUUAGCAGCCUGGGACUCCUCUUGGCUUGGGCAGUAAUCCCAGUGAUGCCCUUAGCAGCUUGAGAGUCAUACCCUCUCAUACUUAGACAUUGCACUACUCACACUGAACGAUGGACCUAGCAACUUGGGCCCAAGUGGAUUUUCUUUAUAACUCAAUCUAGAACUAAACUCCUCAAGCCUCGAGUGAAUAGCUUCCAAGGGUGAAUAGCAUGACUCGGUAACAUGACUGAAGACCUUGCCUCCUACACUGCCUAUCCUCACAAUGCUACCACACAAGGUACCUUCCUUCCAACACAUGGACCGUUGGGGAUAACCCUCAGACCACAGCGCCUUUCACAGGAAUGGAAGUUAGGGACGCAAGUAGAUUUUGUGCAUGCUAACCGCUUUGUCCCAUGGAAGAGGAAAGAGGGAAUGAGAACUGCCAAAAGCAAAUGAGAUCCUACCAUUGGACAUUGGUAAGGCAUUGCUGAGCAUCUGCCUUCCCUGAGGACGGUGCCAUUGAGAAGGGCUCCCCCCAGAACUGGACAGCAACAGCAUUCUCACGACAUUUCCUUGCAGGUGUCAAUUAAACCCAGGUGCCAGUGAUUAGAAUAUGGGUGUCUCCGGGAGCUGUUACCCAGUCAGACUACAGCAGUCCAUGCUCACCAAGUGAUGAUUGUGGCAGCAACCAGUUAGAACCGAAUAUGUGCUAAGCCCGAGCUGGGAAAUUCACGAAACGUACUGAGUGAAACCCUGGUGCCAGCAUUUUGAGGAUGGCAAUGUCCCCAUUAAUGGACGAGAGGACUCUUGGUGUCUUCGUAAAGGAUCAGCCUCAAUCUGAGUCCUGCUCUAACUGCAUCCUUCCCUGUGACCACCAUGCCUGGUUCCACAUGGAGAAGAGCAUGGAAACCAUCGGGUGCAAUAUGCAGAUGCCCAGCGUUAAAUUCCUUCCCGCAUAGACCUGUCAAUGGCAAACACAGGUCUGGACCCUAGCCUCUAAGUUCCCCUCUGCAUUUCCCAGGGGAAGCGGGACACUCAUCCAGUGCAUGUCCAAUGCUCAGUGAGUCAUGCCACCCUCAUUUGCUCCCUGCCUCUGCCUUUGGGUGAUCAGAGUGAAGAUCUCAUAAUGGACAUUUUAAAAAUAUUUCUGGCAAUAAUGAUCAGGCUUAUUGUCUCAUUUCUUUUCCUUUUAAAGCUCCAGGGUAGUCUGCAGUCAUGUUUAAAUAAUUACACUGUAACUUUUCUCCCCAGGAAGAAUUUCCCUAGUGAUUUCAAGAUACAGAAUAAAAAGCUUUAAAACUAAAAUCAGUCUGGAUUUUCCCCCUCAUUUUUUUCAGGCAGGGUGUCACGGAGUCCAGGCUGACCUCAAACUUCUGACCCCUCUACUUCCACUUCCCAAGUACUGGGGUUAUAGUCACACGCCAGGCAGCACACGUGGUUAUGGAGUGCUGUGGAUCAGCACAGGGCUCUGUGAAUGCUAGGCAGGUAGUCCACCUGGUGAGUUACAUCCCCAGGCCCCAUGGGGAAAACCGACUCUUAAAUGUGAUUGCUUUUAUAAAAAUGAGAAGGUUGGCACAUGCAAUUGAAAGACCCCUACCCAGGGCCCCCUAGGAAAAGAAAAACAAGGCCAGGCUGUUGCCUAAUGAAAAAACCCAGACCAGGUGCCUCGCCCAGCUGGCGCUUCAAAUAGGAUGCCAAACAGGAUGUCUAUGGUCACCAGAGCAGUCAUGGGACCCGGAUAAUAAUUGCUGAAGCGUGCCGAGGUCGUUCAUGAGGUAAUACCAGGAAACCUAGUCCGUGAGAACUACCCCUGCC